UUACGGCUCAGUAACACGUAGAUAAUUUGCCUUAGGUGGAGGAUACCCUCGGGAAACUGAGAAUAAUACUCCAUAGAUCUAGACUGCUGGAAUGCUUUUAGAUUGAAAGAUUUAUCGCCUAAGGAUAAGUCUGCGGACUAUCAGGUUGUAGUUAGGGUAAAUACCUGACUAGCCUACGACGGAUACGGGUAGUGAGAGCUUUAGCCCGGAGAUGAUAUCUGAGACACGAUAUCAGGCCCUACGGGGCGCAGCAGGCGCGAAAACUUCGCACUGUGCGAAAGCACGACGAGGGAAUCCCAAGUGCUGGCUCGUAAGAGUCAGCUGUUUUUCUGUCUAAAAAACAGGAAGAGUAAGAGCUGGGUAAGACGGGUGCCAGCCGCCGCGGUAAUACCUGCAGCUCAAGUGGUGGCCGCUAUUAUUGGGCCUAAAACGUCCGUAGCCGGUUUCAUAAAUGCCUGGGUAAAUCGUACGGCUUAACCGUACGAAUUCCGGGUAGACUGUUUAACUUGAGACCGGGAGAGGCUAGAGGUACUCCUGGGGUAGAGGUGAAAUUCUGUAAUCCUAGGGGGACCACCAGUGGCGAAGGCGUCUAGCUAGAACGGGUCUGACGGUGAGGGACGAAGCCCUGGGGAGCAAACGGGAUUAGAUACCCCGGUAGUCCAGGGUGUAAACGCUGCUCGCUUGAUGUUAGUCGGGCUCCGAGCCCAACUAGU
rnacentral:rRNA from 1 species